rnacentral:rRNA from 1 species
CCUACGGGAGGCAGCAGUGAGGAAUAUUGGUCAAUGGCCGAGAGGCUGAACCAGCCAAGUCGCGUGAGGGAAGACUGUCCUAUGGAUUGUAAACCUCUUUUGUCAGGGAGCAAAGUCACCCACGUGUGGCUGUUGGAGAGUACCCGAAGAAAAAGCAUCGGCUACCUCCGUGCCAGCAGCCGCGGUAAUACGGAGGAUGCGAGCGUUAUCCGGAUUUAUUGUGUUUAAAGGGUGCGUAGGCGGAGUAUCAAGUCAGCGGUAAAAUCGUGGGGCUAAACUCCAUACAGCCGUUGAAACUGGUUCUCUUGAGUGGGCGAGAAGUAUGCGGAAUGCGUGGUGUAGCGGUGAAAUGCAUAGAUAUCACGCAGAACUCCGAUUGUGAAGGCAGCAUACCGGCGCGCAACUGACGCUCAUGCACGAAAGCGUGGGUAUCGAACAGGAUUAGAUACCCGAGUAGUC